rnacentral:rRNA from 1 species
AUUGAACGCUGGCGGCAGGCUUAACACAUGCAAGUCGAGCGAGCGGCGGACGGGUGAGUAAUGUCUGGGAAACUGCCUGAUGGAGGGGGAUAACUACUGGAAACGGUAGCUAAUACCGCAUACCAUCAGAUGUGCCCAGAUGGGAGUAGCUAGUAGGUGGGGUAAUGGCUCACCUAGGCGACGAUCCCUAUCUGGUCUGAGAGGAUGACAGGCCACACGGGAACUGAGACAGGGUCCAGACGCCGACGUGGGGCAGCAGUGGGAAAUAGUGCACAAGGGGCGCAAGCCGGAUGCAGCCAUGCGGCGUGUGUGAAGAAGGCCUUCGGGUUGUAAAGCACUUUCAGCGAGGAGGCGUUACUCGAAGAAGAAGCACCGGCUAACUCCGUGCCAGCAGCCGCGGUAAUAC